rnacentral:pre_miRNA from 1 species
AUUAAGGUCAUUUUUUAGUUUUUAUAUACAAUAUUUUGACUCUUCCUCUUAUUUGAAUUUUUUACGGUUAAUAUUUUUAUUAUUACUAGAUGGUAAAACAUGAAUAGUAUUUUAUGCAUGACUAAUUUUUUAUGUUAUUGUACAAAAAUUUUAAAUAAGAUGAAUGGUAAAACGUUGGAGCAUGAAAAUCAAAAAAUAAAGUUAUU